GUGCUCGCUUUGGCAGCACGUAUACUAAAAUUGGAACGAUACAGAGAUUAGCAUGGCCCCUGUGCAAGGAUGACAUGCAAAUUCGUGAAGGUUCCAUAUUUAA